GAUUAUCAAAAUAUCAAGAAUUAAAUAUUAAUGUAAUUCUUUGUGCUGGAUAAUUCCUAUAAAGUAACAGAUAAUGGGUAAUUUCCUGAUGUUAUUGAGUAUUAUAUGGCAUCUAAACAUCUAAAGUUUGUCGGAGAGUGUGGAGAACUACGAAUUAUUACGUUAAACCCUCUGCAAAUCUUUGCCACCACAUCAGCAUCUUUCUUAGUGGAAGGAAACAUCAGCAGUACAAGGGAAAAAAAUGUGUCCAACUUAUGGUAAAGUGUCCACACAACAAAGCCCCAUGUACACGUGAUAGCUCACUGCUCUCCAAGGUCACAGAACAGCUACGACAGCUGAGACUUGGGAGGCUGAGGUGGGAGGAUCAAGAGUUCAAGGCCAGCCUGGGCAACAUAGAGAGACUCUGUCCAAAACAAAAAUUAAAAAAAAAAAAGAUAGGAAAUGUAGCUUGGAGGUAGAGCAUCCCUGGGCUCAACCAGUAUAAAAAGAGAGAAAAAGAGAAAAGCUAUAAUAGCUUAAGUAUGUAGAUCAUUUUGAGGUUUAUCAUUCAUAAUGUUUUCAAAUCCUACUAAAGUUUUUGCACAAAUGAAACAUCUUCCAGCUGGUAGAUAUGGGGAAACGUUGAGGUUCAAAGUGUCAUGUACUAAGGGUGGGGAGAGAUGACAGUUGCAUUUGUUCGUAUUUGCCUAGGGUAUCUCUCAAAAUCGAUGCAAGAGGAAAUUGCUUAAGUUAGUCUCUGGAAAGAGAAAAUAUUGCUUAUGUACAUAUGUACUGCAUGAUUAUGUACUUGUGUAUGUAGUUGUACAUAUGUUCCUCAUAUAUACUUGAUUGAUGCAUGUAUACAGACGUAUACUUAAAAAAAUUUUUUUGUAGUUGUAAAUGAACAAAAUGCCUUUAUUUUAUUUGUUUAUUUUUGUGUGGUCCUAAGGAUCGAACCUAGUGCCUCACACAUGCUGGACAAGCGCUCUGCCACUGAGCAGCAACCCAGCCCCCAUGCAUAGACUUUUGUGUUUGUCAUUGUCUAGGCAUAUGAAUGUUGUCUAUUCAAAACAAUAAGUGUGCUUUAGAACUUACACAGAAUGGUAUGUCUACACUGGGCAGAUGGCCCAGUCUACCACAUUCCCUUAGUGUCCAUAGCUGACCAGUGCAAGUGGAGAUGUACUAAGGUCUGACCUGGUCCAGGCCAAACCACUCUAACCCAUGGGAGUUUGGAAAUAUCAGUGAAUCUCAAUGGAGUUGGAAGGUGGCUGGAAUGGGUCGUCAAUUGCCCUGCCCAGAGUGGAGUUUCUGAGUUCCUGGUCACACUUCCCUAGCACGGCCUUGACUCCUCCCCUCCUGGAGACCUGGAUAGUCAGGUUUCCUUCAGUUUCCUGAGCUGCACGAACAGUCUUCCAGUAAAUCCAUGUUUACCUUAAAUUAGCUCCAAAUAAUGUCUGUUGCUUACUAUAAAAACAAUCUUGGCCAAUACCGUUAUCUUUCUUGACUAACCCUUCCCUAUCUUGGUAAAAGGGUUAAUGUAUCAACCGAACUCACAAUCUCCGAACACAGUCCUGUAAGCCCCGGACCUCUUUACUUGGAUUUCUAAAGUACCCCCGCACAUUUAUAAAAGAGCAUUUUAAAUGAAUCCCCUACCGGAAGCCAUUUCUCCCUCUUCACCUUACAGACUUAGGAUAAGUGAUCCUGGUGGCAUCUACACCUCUGGGUGGGGCUCCCCAGCCUCAGUGACACUCUCGAUGCACAAGCACAGAUUCACAGUUUCAGGUCCAGGAAAGAUGCCAAGUAUGGCCCUUUACCAUGAAGAGUGUGGCUCUUUACCAUCCUAUGCCAGAUGUCAGGAGUGUGUGCUCCCAGAAGCCUAACCAGUGGGUAGUCUUAAUGUAACAACAUGAUAUAUUAUUUCUCAUUUUGGAACAUCAUCUACACAGGUGCUUUGGUAGGAAACUAAGGAAAUAUUCCUUGACAUAUACACUAAUGCACUUUUGAAAAAUUGUUCUAAAAUACACAUAACUUUUUUUUGUAGUUGUAAAUGAACAAAAUGCCUUACCCAUUAAGUGCACAGUUCAGGAGCAUUCUAUACAUUCAGGCUGUUGUACACCUGUGGCCACCAUCUGUUUCCAGAACUUCCUCAUCUUCCCCAACUGCAACGCUCUCCCCAUUAAACACUAGCUACCCACUCCCUUCAUUCUACCUUCUUUGUCUAUGAAUCUGCUGACUCUUAGGAUCUCAUACACACGGAAUCAUGCAGUAUGUUUCCUUUUGUGACUGGCUUAUUUGACCAUCAUCCAGACUCAUUGAGUGGCUUCAGAGUGUCCAGGCAGGGAACAUCCCCCAGUGAGCCCAGAACCUGGAGGCUAUGGGAGUUGAGGGAGAUAGGAAUCAUGAACUCUGGAGAGACAGGUGGAUUUGGAGGGCCUGCAGUUCAGGGUUCCAUCUGGCAAGUAACUUGUGCUGUUCAUGUGCAUCUUGGGUAUCAAAUGGGAAGGAGUGGUCUGGGGAAGAACCUACCUUUGGCUAGGUUGGUCCCUGUAGUCUCACCCUCCAUUUCUUCCCCAUACUGAGGCCCAGGUAGUCUCCUUCAUGUAUUCAACUGGCAUGCUAACAGGGGCUGGA
rnacentral:lncRNA from 1 species